rnacentral:lncRNA from 1 species
GUCCUCUCUGAGGUAAGUAAAGUUCAUUUUGGUUUCAGAUGUUAGGCCUUUGCAAGUAGCCUAAUGAAGGUGGGACUCGAAGGUAUGAAUGUCUCUUUCAUACACUUACACAGUGAUUUCCUGACACUCCUAAGUAGCUUCUAUUGUUUCAUUUUCUCUAUGGCUUCUGUCCCACAUGAAGUCAGCCUUAUUAACCUUUCUGCUCAACAAUGAAUGUGACUUUUUCAUCUCUGGCAAAGGGGACAGUAACCACCCAUUAGACAGUCCUGUUAGAGUACACAUCAGACAAAGAGAGAAAUGGACCUUUUUUUGGGGGGGGGGCGGCGCGGGGAACUACCCAGAUAGCUGUUUUUUAAAUUCCUGCAAAAAAUUUUCAAAGAAACUAAAACAAAACAAAAGACAAUCAAAAAACUCCCAAACAAACAAAUUUUUAAAACUUAACAGUUUUUAUACUCCCUACCAAAAUAGAUGCUCUGUGUACUCCCUGGAAACCAGUGGCAUUUCCUGACUGGCCACUACAGUGAGCAUUCCGUCAGAGGCAUGGCCUCUAAAUAUUGUCCCUGGCAGAGAGGCUCCAGGCUGAGCCCAGCCAUCCUGCCCAAUGGCCCAGAAGAUGCUCAGGAGGCCCCAGAAUUGGGAGGAAUGCCACAGAGCAGGCUGGAGAAAUUUUGGAUGCUGGACCAUUGGGCAAAGUUAGUUGUCUGGAAAUAGGGGAGAGGACAAAGUCGGGAGGGUGACUAUGGUUGUCUGGAAAAAUACAGAAUGAGUAGAAUGCAAAUUACCAGAGAAGGUCCCUUCCAGGAUUGGUCUGUAGAUACAGAGAAGUACAGUGAGAAGAUGACCCCUUGAGAAGACCUAUGUUUAAGUCCUGGCUCUGCCUGGGGGCUUGGGGAUUCAUAGGAAUAUAUUUUUUAAAAAAUAAUAUUCUGUUGGCUUCUUCCCAGGGAGACUGCAUAUUGUCGUGCCAAGGGCAUGGUUUUGAAAUCAUGUAGACAAUGGGUUUGAAUGGGGGUCCUUGUCAUUUACUAGAAUGUCAGACCUUUUUUUUUUUUUUUUAGUGAAGAAUCUUCAGUGGGAUGCAUAGCCACCAAGCCGAGAGUACAUUUUCCAGCCUGUGUCAUAGCCAGAGACGACCAUAUGACUAAGUAUGGCUGGAACAAGAGUGAGUUUUCAAUUCCUCAUUUGCUCGGAUAGUGAAGGAGGUGUCCUGCCCUUCCCACUGCAUCAUUUUCCUACUGUCUAGAAAGCAUACUUGGUAGAGAAAUCAUCUUGAACCAUACAAGUGCCCCAAGUGACUAUCAAAGCAAAAACAUUUCAUCUCUGAAGCAAUGCAAUUUCAAUCCUGG